CCUACGGGAGGCAGCAGUGAGGAAUAUUGGUCCAUGGGCGCGAGCCUGAACCAGCCCAGUAGCGUGAAGGAUGACUGCCCUACGGGUUGUUAACUUCUUUUAUAAAGGAAUAAAGUGAGGCACGUGUGCCUUUUUGUAUGUACUUUAUGAAUAAGGCUCGGCUAACUCCGUGCCAGCAGCCGCGGUAAUACGGAGGAUCCGAGCGGUAUCCGGAUUUAUUGGGGUUAAAGGGAGCGUAGAUGGGUUGUUAAGUCAGUUGUGAAAGUUUGCGGCUUAACCGUAAAAUUGCAAUUGAUACUGGCAGCCUUGAGUACAGUUGAGGUAGGCGGAAUGCGUGGUGUAGCGGUGAAAUGCUUAGAUAUCACGAAGAACUCUGAUUGCGAAGGCAGCUUACUAAACUGCCACUGACAUUGAUGCUCGAAAGUGUGGGUAUCAAACAGGAUUAGAUACCCUGGUAGUC
rnacentral:rRNA from 1 species